AUACGUAGGGAGCGAGCGUUGUCCGGAAUUACUGGGUGUAAAGGGAGCGUAGGCGGGAGUGCAAGUCAGAUGUGAAAUACAUGGGCUCAACCCAUGGGCUGCAUUUGAAACUGCAUUUCUUGAGUGAAGUAGAGGUAAGCGGAAUUCCUGGUGUAGCGGUGAAAUGCGUAGAUAUCAGGAGGAACACCGGUGGCGAAGGCGGCUUACUGGGCUUUUACUGACGCUGAGGCUCGAAAGCGUGGGGAGCAAACAGGAUUAGAUACCCUGGAAGUCCACGCUGUAAACGAUGAUUACUAGGUGUGGGGGGACUGACCCCUUCCGUGCCGCAGUUAACACAAUAAGUAAUCCACCUGGGGAGUACGGCCGCAAGGUUGAAACUCAAAUGAAUUGACGGGG
rnacentral:rRNA from 1 species